UCUUUCUUCUUCUCUCCCUUUUCUCUGUUUUCUUUUCUGCCGAUAAUUUGUGAGUCGUGCAUGAAGAUUUAUCGAGUAAGAUUAAUCAGUGAAGAUGUUUAAACGAGGAUAUAUGUGGUGUUGUUAUCAAUCGGGGAAGGAAACUGUCAGGGAUUUAAGAAGAUCAAAUUAGGAUUUCUGUAAAUGGAAUUGGAAUUCGAUUGAGUUCUCAGGUGAAUUUGUGGGUUAUUUGGGAUGUUGUUAGUUGAAAAUUGGAAGGUUUGAGGUUUGAUUGAACCUGUAGAGUUGUUUGAGGAUUGAAUCAGGAGUUAGGGUUUCAUAAUAAGAGACUCAUAGAAGAAUUAGAAGAUGAAAUUAAGGUGUUAAGGGAAAGAUUGGAUAUGGGUUGGUGUUAAAUUGUUGUUGCGAAGUCGUUUUGAUGAUGAAUUGGAAAAUGGGAAACUAGGGUUCAUAAGAGUUCAAAGAAGAACCAGAAGAUGAAAUUGAUACUUUGGAAGUAUGAUUAAAGGUGGGUUUGUUAUGAGUUUGGAGAUAAGGUUUAAAUAUAACUCGAAUCGAUAGUUAUGGUUUUGAGAUUGAUAGUUUGAAGUUGUUAAUGGAGUUAUUUGAUUGUGUUUAUGAGAAGGUGAUGAGGUUGUUAUGGGUGUUGAUUUGAGCUUUGAGGUUAACUCAGAGGAAGAGGUAGGUUGAAUUGAUUAAGAACCAGGGAGAUUGUUUUGUUCUAGAGAACCAGUUAGGGUGAUGAAGAUUGUUGGGCUGUUGUUAGUCUUGAGAUGAGUGGAUGAACAUAGUCAAGUAAAGAAGGAAAUGAAUUCCAAUUGCCUGAGUAACACAUUUGAGGUAAUUAUUUCCUUAGAUGAUUUAGCUCAGUUAAGUUUUAUUGUAUGAAUAUUUGUGUUUGAUAAUUGAAUUGAGAAUCGGGAUGUAUGUAUGUUGAAUUGAAGUUCAGUAUGUUAGAAUUGGAGUUGUUAUGGUUGGAUGUUAUGAUUGUUGGUGUUGAAGUUUAUUGGGUCUGUGGUGAAUGAGGAUUCAGUGAUGCAGUGAAAUGGAGUUGCAGAUUAUUAUGUACUGUAUUCUGGGUUGCAGUUGUUGAAGUCUGAUUGUGCUGGUGAACUUCUUGUAAGAAAGUUGUGUAUGGAGUAAGUUUAUAUAAAUGAGUUGUUGCAUAUAUUAGUGGAAUCUUGUUGUUGCAGGGGAGGUGCAAGUACAGAGCAUGGGUGUUGGAGUUAGACUUGAACUGAGAUGGGUAGUGAGUGAACUAGUGUAAGAAGAAUGGGAUAGUAAAGAUAUAGAUAGUGGUAACUGUAUGGUUGUAGAUGGAAGCUUCAAUGAAGGCUUGUAUCUGAUGUUGCAGUUUCAGAGACAGAUCAAGAUGUGUAGAGUUGCGCAGCGAAAGCUUCGGGGAGUUGAUUACGUUAUUUAGAUUGCUUCCGCUAUGUUUAUUUUGUGUUUAUAUUUUAUUUGUAAAUCAACUCACUAUUGAAUAUGUAUCAUUUAAGAGGAGUUCUUGUUUUUAUUUCAGAGCGGGUUUAGAUUCGGGUUAA